rnacentral:rRNA from 1 species
AAUGAACGUUGGCGGCGUGGAUUAGGCAUGCAAGUCGUACGGGCCAGCAAUGGCCAGUGGCGAACGGGAGAGGAAUACGCAGGUAUCUGCCUCCGGGUCGGGGAUAGCCACGGGAAACUGUGGGUAAUACCCGAUAACGUCUCCGGACCAAAGGUGUAAUUCCACCUGGAGAGGAGCCUGCGUCCUAUUAGCUUGUUGGCGAGGUAAUGGCUCACCAAGGCUACGAUGGGUACGGGGUGUGAGAGCAUGCCCCCGCUCACUGGGACUGAGACACUGCCCAGACACCUACGGGUGGCUG